GAUGAACGCUGGCGGCGUGCCUAAUACAUGCGAGUCGAGCGAACAGACGAGGAGCUUGCUCCUCUGACGUUAGCGGCGGACGGGUGAGUAACACGUGGAUAACCUACCUAUAAGACUGAGAUAACUUCGGGAAACCGGAGCUAAUACCGGAUAAUAUAUUGAACCGCAUGGUUCAAUAGUGAAAGACGGUUUUGCUGUCACUUAUAGAUGGAUCCGCGCCGCAUUAGCUAGUUAGUAAGGUAACGGCUUACCAAGGCAACGAUGCGUAGCCGACCUGAGAGGGUGAUCGGCCACACUGGAACUGAGACACGGUCCAGACUCCUACGGGAGGCAGCAGUAGGGAAUCUUCCGCAAUGGGCGAAAGCCUGACGGAGCAACGCCGCGUGAGUGAUGAAGGUCUUCGGAUCGUAAAACUCUGUUAUUAGGGAAGAACAAAUGUGUAAGUAACUAUGCACGUCUUGACGGUACCUAAUCAGAAAGCCACGGCUAACUACGUG
rnacentral:rRNA from 1 species